GGCGGCGGGGGCGGCGGCGGGCUGGUCGGGUCCGUGGCGCCGGAGAUCAGGUGAGAGCGCAGGAACCAGUCGUUCGGAUCGGUGCUGCCGCCGC
rnacentral:tRNA from 1 species